GUUAAGUCCCGCAACGAGCGCAACCCUCGCCUUACGUUGCCAGCAUUAAGUUGGGCACUCUAGAGGGACUGCCGGUGAUAAGCCGGAGGAAGUGGGGAUGACGUCAAGUCCUCAUGGCCCUUACGGGCUGGGCUACACACGUGCUACAAUGGUGGUGACAGUGGGCAGCGAGAUCGCAAGGUCGAGCUAAUCUCCAAAAACCAUCUCAGUUCGGAUCGUACUCUGCAACUCGAGUACGUGAAGUUGGAAUCGCUAGUAAUCGUGGAUCAGCAUGCCACGGUGAAUACGUUCCCGGGCCUU
rnacentral:rRNA from 1 species